rnacentral:rRNA from 1 species
CUACGGGGCGCUGCAGUGAGGAAUAUUGCACAAUGGGGGGAACCCUGAUGCAGCAACGCCGCGUGGAGGAUGACGCAUUUCGGUGUGUAAACUCCUUUUAUAUGUCAAGAAAAUGACGGUAGCAUAUGAAUAAGCACCGGCUAACUCCGUGCCAGCAGCCGCGGUAAUACGGAGGGUGCAAGCGUUACUCGGAAUCACUGGGCGUAAAGGACGCGUAGGCGGGUUGGAAAGUCAGGUGUGAAAUCCUACAGCUUAACUGUAGAACUGCACUUGAAACUUCUAAUCUAGAGUAUGGGAGGGGGAGAUGGAAUUAGUGGUGUAGGGGUAAAAUCCGUAGAUAUCACUAGGAAUACCUAAAGCGAAGGCGAUCUCCCGGAACAUUACUGACGCUAAGGCGUGAAAGCGUGGGGAGCAAACAGGAUUAGAUACCCGUGUAGUC